rnacentral:rRNA from 1 species
ACUCCUACGGGAGGCAGCAGUGGGGAAUCUUGGACAAUGGGGGCAACCCUGAUCCAGCCAUGCCGCGUGAGUGAUGAAGGCCUUAGGGUCGUAAAGCUCUUUCGCCUGUGAAGAUAAUGACGGUAGCAGGUAAAGAAACCCCGGCUAACUCCGUGCCAGCAGCCGCGGUAAUACGGAGGGGGUUAGCGUUGUUCGGAAUUACUGGGGCGUAAAGCGCACGUAGGCGGAUCGGAAAGUUGGGGUGAAAUCCCCGGGGCUCAACCCCGGAACUGCCUCCAAAACUAUCGGUCUAGAGUUCGAGAGAGGUGAGUGGAAUUCCGAGUGUAGAGGUGAAAUUCGUAGAUAUUCGGAGGAACACCAGUGGCGAAGGCGGCUCACUGGCUCGAUACUGACGCUGAGGUGCGAAAGUGUGGGGAGCAAACAGGAUUAGAUACCCUGGUAGGAUAGCG